rnacentral:rRNA from 1 species
UACGGAGGGUGCAAGCGUUAAUCGGAAUUACUGGGCGUAAAGCGUGCGCAGGCGGUUUUGUAAGUCUGACGUGAAAGCCCCGGGCUCAACCUGGGAAUUGCGUUGGAGACUGCAAGGCUAGAAUCUGGCAGAGGGGGGUAGAAUUCCACGUGUAGCAGUGAAAUGCGUAGAGAUGUGGAGGAACACCGAUGGCGAAGGCAGCCCCCUGGGUCAAGAUUGACGCUCAUGCACGAAAGCGUGGGGAGCAAACAGG